UACGUAGGUGGCGAGCGUUAUCCGGAAUGAUUGGGCGUAAAGGGUGCGUAGGCGGACGCUUAAGUCAGCGGUAAAAUUGCGGGGCUCAACCUCGUCGAGCCGUUGAAACUGGGUGCCUUGAGUGGGCGAGAAGUAUGCGGAAUGCGUGGUGUAGCGGUGAAAUGCAUAGAUAUCACGCAGAACUCCGAUUGCGAAGGCAGCAUACCGGCGCCCAACUGACGCUGAAGCACGAAAGCGUGGGUAUCGAACAGG
rnacentral:rRNA from 1 species